UAUCCUCAGUGUUUCUUCUUUUUAUUUAUUGGCUGAACACAGCAGAUGUUUUAAUAAAUGAGGCUGAUGUUUCCUGAAGGAUGUUUUAGCUGUCUUGGGAUUUCUCAGACACCAGAUAUUGCCAUUAGUCACAAAUGAGGAAGAAAGCAAACAUGCAAAUAUGAAGAAAAUGAGGACAGUCACCGUUCAACAUUGUAUUGUUAUUCAUAGGAAACUGCAGUUGCCAGAUUUCAUUUUGUAAAAAAUAGUUACAUAAAUAGUUCCAUCAAACGCAAAUUCUAAUUUUGUUUUACAUCGAUUUGUUUAAAGCCAAUAAACGUCGUGAAAACAGUCAAGGUGACGCACUAUUUUUUGAGGCGGAGUCACAGGCGGAUUAACUGUUAAAUUGGUUAACUGACGUUGGCUAAUGAAGCAGCAGUACUAACGGUGUCACUCUGCCCUCUUUGCAGGUGAACGUCCACAUUCAAGUGCUGAAUGUUGCUUAAUGCUUCGGUUAUAUAAGUGGAGUCGAGCCAGCAGCCAGCGGAAGAAGCCGGUCCUCUUGGAUCCGAAGAAGCUGAUGAAGAAGUUGAUCACAGUGGUGACGAAGAUGAUGCCUGUGGCCAGGUUGUUCAGAGGAAGUCCCUACGUCACAGAGUCAGAAAUGCAUCCUGGCGAAGAGGCCGGUGCGCUCCAUCCCCAUUACGGAGAUGAAGAUGUUGGUGACGAAAAUGAGAAAGAUGAGGAUGGUUGCGUAGUUGUUCAGGCUGUCCAGGCGCUUGUGGUUGGCCUCGUCGUUUAGAUCUCGCCGAGCUGCAACAAAGACACACGGCGUGAUCUCAUGGCACUGAAAUCAAUCAACAAUAGUCCCAUGAGCACGGCAGGCACCACGGGACAUCAGCAACUGAGAGUGGAUGAGACACGGUGGGAUCACUGUGGAGCUGCUGAGGUCAAGUGUCACAAAGAGACACAUCAGAGUUAGUCCCACUGGGAUCAAAGAUGUCUUCCAAGGGAGACCUGGCCAAGAACAGCAGCAUUCAGAUUCACACAUUUCACAAUAGA